rnacentral:rRNA from 1 species
UACAGAGGUCUCGAGCGUUAGGCGGAAUCACUGGGCUUAAAGCGUGUGUAGGCGGAUCGGUAAGUACCUUGUGAAAUUCCACGGCUUAACCGUGGAACUGCUUGGUAUACUGCCAGUCUUGAGCCAUCUAGGGGCUACCGGAACAAAUGGUGGAGCGGUGAAAUGCGUAGAUAUCGCUUGGAACGCCGAAGGUGAAAACAGGCUGCUGGGGUUGCGCCGACGCUGAGACACGAAAGCCAGGGGAGCAAACGGG